GGGGAUGUAACGGUCUCGACGGGGUGAAGCGUUUACGAAGAUGCGUGUCGAGCUACGCUGGUGGAGCUCGUUAAUACAACCGGCGAACAACAACUGGCGAUAACUUCGGUUAUCGCAUGGCCGCCUAAGCUUAGGCCGCUAUGCCAUCGAACGGAUGGGUGCCUGUUCCCCUCCGCCUCGGUGUUGCCCUCAAACAGGCUGGCGUGAAGUCGUGCACCAGGACCUAACGCGAGAAACCACUGAUGCUGGCUGUAGCGGACCUGUCGAUCGGUUACCGAAACAGUAAGACACCGUAGAUCGAAGACACACGUGGUAGGCUUCGAUUCGUUCACUUCGGACCCGGGUUCGACUCCCGGCAUCUCCACAA
rnacentral:tmRNA from 1 species